rnacentral:tRNA from 1 species
GCCGGGUUGGCGGAAUGGUAGACGCGGUGGUCUCAAAAACCACUGUCCGAAAGGAUGUGCGGGUUCGAGUCCCGCACCCGGCA